UACGAAGGGGGCUAGCGUUGCUCGGAAUUACUGGGCGUAAAGCGCACGUAGGCGGAUUGUUAAGUCGGGGGUGAAAUCCUGGAGCUCAACUCCAGAACUGCCUUCGAUACUGGCGAUCUCGAGUUCGGGAGAGGUGAGUGGAACUGCGAGUGUAGAGGUGAAAUUCGUAGAUAUUCGCAAGAACACCAGUGGCGAAGGCGGCUCACUGGCCCGGAUACUGACGCUGAGGAGCGAAAGCGUGGGGAGCGAACAGG
rnacentral:rRNA from 1 species